AUUGAACGCUGGCGGCAUGCCUUACACAUGCAAGUCGAACGGCAGCACGGGGGCAACCCUGGUGGCGAGUGGCGAACGGGUGAGUAAUGCAUCGGAACGUGUCCUCUUGUGGGGGAUAACCAGUCGAAAGACUGGCUAAUACCGCAUGAGAUCGAAAGAUGAAAGCGGGGGACCGCAAGGCCUCGCGCGAGAGGAGCGGCCGAUGCCGGAUUAGCUAGUUGGUGGGGUAAUGGCCCACCAAGGCGACGAUCCGUAGCUGGUCUGAGAGGACGACCAGCCACACUGGGACUGAGACACGGCCCCAGACUCCUACGGGAGGCAGCAGUGGGGAAUUUUGGACAAUGGGCGCAAGCCUGAUCCAGCCAUGCCGCGUGUGUGAAGAAGGCCUCGGGUUGUAAAGCACUUUCGGACGGAACGAAAUCGCGCGCAUGAACAAUGCGCGUGGAUGACGGUACCGUAAGAAGAAGCACCGGCUAACUACGUGCCAGCAGCCGCGGUAAUACGUAGGGUGCAAGCGUUAAUCGGAAUUACUGGGCGUAAAGGGUGCGCAGGCGGCCCCGCAUGUCAGGCGUGAAAUCCCCGGGCUCAACCUGGGAAUGGCGCUUGAAACUACGGGGCUGGAGUGUGGCAGAGGGAGGUGGAAUUCCACGUGUAGCGGUGAAAUGCGUAGAUAUGUGGAGGAACACCGAUGGCGAAGGCAGCCUCCUGGGCCAACACUGACGCUCAUGCACGAAAAGCGUGGGGGAGCAAACAGGAUUAGAUACCCUGGUAG
rnacentral:rRNA from 1 species